AACACGAGGAACCCGGUGCUGGAAGGUUAAGAGGAGGGGUUAUCCUUUGGGAGAAGCUCUGAAUCGAAGCCCCAGUAAACGGCGGCCGUAACUAUAACGGUCCUAAGGUAGCGAAAUUCCUUGUCGGGUAAGUUCCGACCCGCACGAAAGGCGUAACGAUCUGGGCACUGUCUCAACGAGAGACUCGGUGAAAUUAUAGUACCUGUGAAGAUGCAGGUUACCCGCGACAGGACGGAAAGACCCCGUGGAGCUUUACUGCAGCCUGAUAUUGAAUUUUGGUACAGCUUGUACAGGAUAGGUAGGAGCCUGAGAAGCCGGAGCGCCAGCUUCGGUGGAGGCGUUGGUGGGAUACUACCCUGGCUGUAUUGAAAUUCUAACCCGCGCCCCUUAUCGGGGUGGGAGACAGUGUCAGGUGGGCAGUUUGACUGGGGCGGUUU
rnacentral:rRNA from 1 species